rnacentral:lncRNA from 1 species
AUGCUGAAAGGAGCAGUCCCAUUCUCCUCUUCCUUGCAUUCCAGCUCUGGCACAUACCUGACCCCUUAGUAAACUGACCCACUAAUCCAGUGGAAAGCUAUUUGCUUUUUUGGUUGGUUUAGUUUGCCAAUGGUUUAAUUAACUGAAUUGGCUCAGAGAGAGGUCAGAGAAGCACCGGUCAACAAGGCAGAAGCAGGGGAAGCGCAUAGCCAGGAGAAGGGGAGGACACAGGGCUGCCCGUGCAGCAGCAGCCAGCAGGCAGCUCAGCAGGCACCUCACCUCCCUGCACCCUGGCCAGCGCAGUGUCAGCUGCCAGCUCCGUCUUCCAGUCCUGCCUGCCCAAGUCUUCCUUCUGGUGCUAACAGCGUCCUGCAGCACAGCUUAGUACCUGCUAGUCACAGCAGGCUCAGAUUUAUUGUCCAGUACACCUUAACUGAGACGGGAUCAGUUAAGAUUCACCAUCUCUCUGUUCAAGGUUUUCCCUAUUCCAUGAAAGCUUCACAUUAAAAACCGAUCCUCACUGUAAAGUCAGCCUAGCAUCCAGGCUGUCAAGCCUACCUUAAUAUCAGUUGAGAUGUCUCUCCACAGCUCCAUAACCAAAUCCUCCUCCUCAGGGCCUGCUUCCUUUCCAGAGCCUCCAGCUCGCUGCAGCAAGAAGCCCAGAGACCUUCCCUCACUGACGGCUGCCACAGGGCCCUGCUCCUGCCCUCCUGCUGGAGGUGUACCUGGCAGCAGGUGCUGCCCUGCCGAGGCACAGCCCUUCCGCAUAGCAUUCAGAAACUGGAAACACACAUUGCCCCGUGUUACUGGAUCGCUUCUUACAGUUCUGUGGUUAAUUGGAUACCGGAAAUAGAUAUUAGACCAUAUUGUCAGUGUUGUAUGGACUUGAUAGGAUAAGGACUCAUCUGUCAUCAAAAUUAAAGGUAUUACGGAACUUUCUGCACCCUUAAUUCUGUUGUUCAAGGGAUUCCAGCUUUCCACUGACCCCUUAGCAAUAGCAACC